ACGAAACAUUGUCAACCACCUUCAAACAAAUGUUUUAUUGUUGAAGUUUUGAGUCGUCGAGUUGCAGAGGCAUAACAAUCUGUUUUAUUUUUCACGCAUACUAUAUGUAUUAUCAGUUGCUUGACAUAAUAACUCCUCCUUACAUACGAUAAAUAGCAUGGACCAUUUAUGUUUUAAGAACACUGAUUUGAACCACAUUGUUAAUAUAAUACCACUACAUAUUUAUAAAAUAUAAAUCAAUUAGAUUUCGUUACUCUCUUGGUCAUCAAUAUUUCGAAUAGAAAUAAAUAUUUGGUUAUAUCCACUUAAGUUUAUACCGAUGAGAAUAUUUCAUUAUAAUAUAAAAUGAAUUCUAUCUUUACCUGAAUAUUUAUAAAUUUAUCAUAUAUAUCCCACUUACUCCUAAAGCUUUCACAUUAAGCACUUUAUGAACCUAGAGAGAACUAGUACAAUGAAGCGAUGUUGCCACAAUUAAUACUCGCUUCUCUAAUUUGCAGUGUUUUAGACUUGGUAAAGUAAGAAUAUAGAGGUAGAACGUGUAUUUCGAGUGGAUUCGUUUUUUAAAUCAAAUUUACCAAAUUUUGGGGUAGAAUUCUUAAUUUAUACAGGUGCUUCCAACGUGCUUAGGAAUUGUACAUUGGAAGGUAAGACCUCGUUAAUCUUGAUAGCUCCGGAGGGUUGUCGUUUUUAUAGGGGUGACAGACGAUUAACAGAAAAACACAAUUGGGAGAAGCAGCUUUUCUAGUAGCAUUUACCACUGGUUUGUUACAAAUGGGUUUUUUAUUUAUUUGGAACACAAAAUUGAAAUAUUUCAUUCCUGGUGAUCGUUCGGAAAAGAUGCUAUUUGCAAACCCCAGAGGGAGGUAAAUAAGUUGAGAAUAUAAAAAAUAAUAUAAUGGAAAAUCCACCCAGUACAACACAGUAUUGAGAUAUGUUCUUCAGGAAGUCCAUUUAUCAGGGUAAGAAAACCGAGAAUAACAUAACCUAAUCCAAGAAUAACAAUUUCAUAGGUUUAUGAAGUCAAUUUUCUAUGAGAUGAAUUUUAAAAUUUUCAACCCCAUUUCCACCCCUGCCGGGAGCCUUGAAAACCCAGUCGUGAUGUUUAUUUUGUUGAAUCGACAUAUCUGUUAUACCCCUAUUCAACUAACAUAACCAUUGUUGAUGAUGAUGUCAGAUCCAAUGAUCGGACUUCAUUGCUGCUUAAGGAGUGUGGUAGUCGUCGGAAGUACAAAAACAAAAAUUACUCUAUCCUCGACGUAAGGUCAUUCAGAUAUAUUCGAGAUUCAGCAAGCACAUGUCAUAAUUGUUAGCAUGACGAUGGAUUCAUAAGAAGGGACAUCAUGCUUUAGACUGAUGAUGGAUGAUGGAGUGGACAUUCUUCAAACGUCAUUAUAUUCACCUGCAGUACCAAACUUCAUCCAAGAGUCUGACAGUCCAACCCUAUAUAAUUUGUUUAAUUAAUUGCUUAUAAAUGAUAAUUUACUCGAGCAUGUUGUCUUCCUAGAAUGCGUAUGCGCCUCAAAUAGUUGAGUGUACCACCAACUGUAACCAAUAUCGAUUAUAAUUGGUAGUGAAAAGAAAAUUUGAAUCAUGUUUUGCAAUUGUUGAAAUAUAUGGAAAUAUGCACUGCUUCUGAACCCCAACUGGCGGGAUACAAAUACUAACACAAACAUUGUUUCUGAUAUAGACAUUUGUACAUAAUUAUUUUCCAAUGAUUUAUAUAGAAUAGAAUAUUUGAAUAAUAACAUUUUUUUA